CAGCCGCCACGGGAAUACGGAGGGAGCUAGCGUUGUUCGGAAUUACUGGGCGUAAAGCGCGCGUAGGCGGUUACUCAAGUCAGAGGUGAAAGCCCGGGGCUCAACCCCGGAACUGCCUUUGAAACUAGGUAACUAGAAUCUUGGAGAGGUCAGUGGAAUUCCGAGUGUAGAGGUGAAAUUCGUAGAUAUUCGGAAGAACACCAGUGGCGAAGGCGGCUUACUGGCUCAUUCUAGACGCUGAGGUGCGAAAGCGUGGGGAGCAAACAGGAUUAGAUACCCCCGUAGUCCCUGUCUCUUAUAC
rnacentral:rRNA from 1 species